AUUGAACGCUGGCGGCAUGCCUUACACAUGCAAGUCGAACGGUAACGCGGGGCAACCUGGCGACGAGUGGCGAACGGGUGAGUAAUGCAUCGGAACGUGCCCGGUCGUGGGGGAUAACGCAGCGAAAGCUGCGCUAAUACCGCAUACGAUCUGAGGAUGAAAGCGGGGGACCGUAAGGCCUCGCGCGAUCGGAGCGGCCGAUGUCAGAUUAGGUAAUUGGUGGGGUAAAGGCUCACCAAGCCAACGAUCUGUAGCUGGUCUGAGAGGACGACCAGCCACACUGGGACUGAGACACGGCCCAGACUCCUACGGGAGGCAGCAGUGGGGAAUUUUGGACAAUGGGCGAAAGCCUGAUCCAGCAAUGCCGCGUGCAGGAAGAAGGCCUUCGGGUUGUAAACUGCUUUUGUACGGAGCGAAAAGGUCUCCUCUAAUACAGGGGGCUCAUGACGGUACCGUAAGAAUAAGCACCGGCUAACUACGUGCCAGCCGCCGCGGUAA
rnacentral:rRNA from 1 species